rnacentral:rRNA from 1 species
UAUGCCCAGCCGUAAACAUUGGUAGCACAAGUACAAGUGCUAUUCGCCUGGGUACUACGAGCACUAGCUUAAAACCCAAAGGACUUGGCGGUGCUUAAGACCCCCCUAGAGGAGCCUGUUCUAGAACCGAUAACCCCCGUUAAACCUCACCUUCCCUUGUUAGUCCCGUCUAUAUACCGCCGUCGUCAGCUUACCCCGUGAGGGGACUAUAGUGAGCAAGAUCAGCAAACCCCAAAACGUCAGGUCGAGGUGUAGCGAAUGGGAGGGGCAGAAAUGGGCUACAUUCCUUAAGCAUAAGGAAAACGAAUUGUGCAAUGAAAUGUGCAUAUAAAGGAGGAUUUAGCAGUAAGCAGGAAAUAGAGAGUUCUGCUGAAGCCGGCUCUAAAGCGCGCA